UGAGAUUUUUAACAAAAACUGCUGCAAAAAUGGUCCUCAGAAUUACUUGUUUCAUAAGCAUACUAGUCUCUAUGGAAAUGUGCAAAAGUCAGACACUGACUGAGUCUGAGUCAGUCGUCCUCAAACCUGGGAACGAACAUAAACUGACCUGUACUUUCUCUGGGAUUGAAGUUGAUAAUGCAGUUAUUUCAUGGAUAAGACAGGCUGAAGGGAAAGGGCUUGAGUGGAUCUCACUUAUUUCUGCUCCAAGCGGCAGUAGCAAAUAUUACUCUAAAACCGUUGAAGGACGAUUCACCAUCUCCAGAGACAACAGUAAAAUGCAGGUGUAUCUGCACAUGACAAAUCUACAGGCUGAGGACACUGCUGUUUAUUACUGUGCCCGAAGAACACAGUAACACAA